GGCGGGGCGCCCCCGGCCGGGCACCCGGCGCUGCUCCUCGGGCCCGAGGGAUCCCGGGCAGCCGCGCGCCGGGGCCCGGGGCGGAGUGCUCGCGGGUGUGUCCAUUCGUCCAUCCACCGCCCCCGCCCGCCCCCUGCGGUGGCUCCCGGCUUGCCCAGCUCGGCGGCCGCGCCCGGCAGAUGCGCGGCGCUGGGUCCCGGCCUCCUGCGCCCCGGGCCUCCCGGCCCCGCCGGCCCCGGGUUGGCGGACGGGACCGAGGCGAGCUCCCCGGCCGCGCUCAACACCUGAGGAAACUGGCGGAAAAGUUUGAGAACGAAAAGUCCAAUCGUCUUUCAGCUUCCGCCCUCCCUAUGACACUCCAGCCACGACAUAUACUGGACAAAAGAUGUCUCUUCUAUCAGCAGAGUGAUGAUGGUGAAGAUGGUGAUGGAGGUGUAUAUGGAUGGUCAAAACUGGCUGGACAUGUUCCUUCCCCUUUGUACCUGAGUGUGGACACAUGGAGCUUCUGUUUCUUGUUUUUAACCCUGAGAGCAUCAUCCCAAUCUUGUUGCCGGUCAGUGAUGGCUGUGUUGUUACAACAUUUCUGUUGCAGCAGUGACCUAGUGAUGUGAAGUCUGACUGCCUGAUAGGAGGAUGUUUCCCUGUUUUAGGGGUGAGCUCACUUGCUGUCCUGAGUCUGGCCUGCUGCCCCAGUUUCUUUUGCUCUCACCUGAUCAUGGGAUACACUCAGGUUUGUGUAUCUGCACACACAGAAUCAAACCCAUGGUUGACUAUAAGAAAAGUUGCUUAAUCAAAGUUUUAUUUACAUGGGACCAAAUGGCUGGUAUCAUCUGUGAGUUUUUUCCCUCUCUAAACUGACAGAAUUGACUUGUUGUUUUGACACUUGGGAGGCACAGAUAUAGAGAAAAGCUUCAAAAGCUUCAGAGAUCUCCCCAGGUGAUCUCAUCCAUACCCAUGCCUUUAAAUGCCACCUCCAUGCUGACAGUCCCUAAUUUGCAUCUUAAGAAGGCCUCUUCUCAGAGCUCCAGGCUCCUAUCCAGUGGCUGGUUUGACCUUUCCAGGUGGGGGUUAUACAAGCAUCUUAAACCAACUGUGUCUCUAACAGAGCUCUUGACAUUUCCCCUAACCCAUUUCUUCUCCACCCUUCCACCUCAGUAGAUGGCACUGUCCUUUCCCUAGUUACACAAAUCCAAAUCUAGGAGCCACCUGUGAUGUAGCCCUCUUCUUUAUGCCUUCUCUGCAAAGUGACUCUCUUCACCUUGUCCAUGACGGGCAUCUCCUCCCAGACCCCCUGAGAGCCUGCCAGUAGAGUUUCCUGCCUCUUCUCUUGCUCUGCAGUUCAUCCUCCACAUAGCAGUCUUUUUAAAACUUAAAUUGGAUCCCACCACUCUCCUUUCUAAAACUUUCCACUGAAUUUAAUUGCACUGAAAAUAAAACCCAAACUCCUUAUCUUGGUUGGUUAGGC
ensembl:lncRNA